rnacentral:piRNA from 1 species
UGAACCCAGGAGGUAGGGGCUGCAGUGAG